rnacentral:rRNA from 1 species
AUGAUUAAAGAUAGCUUGCUAUUUUUAUGAAGAGCGGCGAACGGGUGAGUAACGCGUGGGAAAUCUGCCGAGUAGCGGGGGACAACGUUUGGAAACGAACGCUAAUACCGCAUAACAAUGAGAAUCGCAUGAUUCUUAUUUAAAAGAAGCAAUUGCUUCACUACUUGAUGAUCCCGCGUUGUAUUAGCUAGUUGGUAGUGUAAAGGACUACCAAGGCGAUGAUACAUAGCCGACCUGAGAGGGUGAUCGGCCACACUGGGACUGAGACACGGCCCAGACUCCUACGGGAGGCAGCAGUAGGGAAUCUUCGGCAAUGGGGGCAACCCUGACCGAGCAACGCCGCGUGAGUGAAGAAGGUUUUCGGAUCGUAAAACUCUGUUGUUAGAGAAGAACGUUAAGUAGAGUGGAAAAUUACUUAAGUGACG